GUCUUAUUAUUGUCUAGAUAUUGAGCAACAUAUCUAUACAUAUCCCAUCAUCAUACACUGUGCUAAGAGAAACCGAGAUAUUGGCCUAAGGUCUGACUAGAGGAGAGGAUAACGGAAUCAUACAUGAUUUCAAGUGACAUCAGACAUUUGAAGUGUUCAAGAAGCUGUUCAGCCGCCAUUGCUGUCUUUUUGGCUAAAAGAUAUCUAAACCUAAUCUUUGAGUUUGAAUGACACCAUCGAUCUCGUUUGUUGGUUCCAUAAAAACGAUGUUUCGAAUGAUCAAAAGGAAGAAGAAAGUCUUUCAGCGGAGGGAAAAGAAAGUCUACUUUGUGGGAUGUUAAGUCAGAAGUUC
rnacentral:lncRNA from 1 species